AAUAAAAGUCAUCAAUUUGUUAUGAGUCUCGAGUGAUUGUGAUAUAU
rnacentral:guide_RNA from 1 species